GAUCCGGUGGUUCCGCAUGGAAGGGCCAUCGCUCAACGGAUAAAAGCUACCCCGGGGAUAACAGGCUUAUCUCCCCCAAGAGUUCACAUCGACGGGGAGGUUUGGCACCUCGAUGUCGGCUCAUCGCAUCCUGGGGCUGUAGUCGGUCCCAAGGGUUGGGCUGUUCGCCCAUUAAAGCGGUACGCGAGCUGGGUUCAGAACGUCGUGAGACAGUUCGGUCCCUAUCCGUUGUGGGCGUUGGAAGUUUGAGAGGAGCUGUCCUUAGUACGAGAGGACCGGGAUGGACAUACCGCUGGUGUACCAGUUGUUCCGCCAGGAGCAUAGCUGGGUAGCUACGUAUGGAAAGGAUAAGUGCUGAAAGCAUCUAAGCAUGAAGCCCCCCUCAAGAUGAGACUUCCCAUCAUUUUAAAUGAGUAAGAUCCCUCAGAGACGAUGAGGUUAAUAGGUUUGAGGUGGAAG
rnacentral:rRNA from 1 species